AAUUAUGUUUCUAAGUGAUCCGAGACCGUUGUUUUUUUUUUUUGUUAUCAUGAUGUUGUUCACUCAUAAUUCAUGUCAAAAAUUGAGUCUAUUUUGUAAGCGUUAUGCGCCAUUGGAGGCAGUAGCAGUAGUAGAAAAAAUCAGAUGUGUAAUUUUUUCGAAUGGUUCCAAACUCGAUUUCCAACAUUCAUCAAAAGAAAUGAUAAUUAUCACAUUUCAUCAAUAUUCAUUUGCAAAACAAGAAUUGGACAGAUGCACUGAAUUCAAGACUUAUCUUAAAGAAAGUAAAUUACAUCAACAAACCAAAUGAUAUCAUUUUAAUUCAAUUAACCUUGAAUGGCUCAUAACUAUAGUGUAAAUAUUGUCAUACUCUCAAUAUUCAUGUUUAUAUACUGAAUUCCCUCAAAAAGAUAACAUCAUUUGAAUAACAAAAAAUAUUUAUGAGGUAAGUUCCACUCGAUAUUUCUCAGAAGAAGCUAUCGAACAAAAUGUACAAGGGACUUCACCGAGCAUUUGCAGCACUUCCUGCACUAUAAACACCUAACACCAAUGCUGUUAAUUUCAUUCAACAGUUAUCUUUCGAAAAUUAUAGUGGAAAUCAAAUACACCGCAAAAUGGUUGGAAAGUUUAUGAUUCAAUUUUUCAUGCUGUCACUUCUACUUUUGGCUAAUUUCAUAGCUCCAAGUUAUGGAGGGGGAUUUCAACAACAUGCCGAAAGGGGACCUUUCGGAGGGGGUUCUAAACCAUCUCAUGGAGCCGGAAGAUUAGGAGGAAAUAAUAAUAAUAUAGGAAGGGGAGGAAAUAGACAUUUUUGAUUCAUAGAAAUCAUAUAUGAAGGAGCUCAUCAAAUCAAAUUACACUGUAAUAUUAUAGUCUGAUAAUACUGCCCAUCGAAUUGUUUUAAUGAAAAAUAUAAAUAUAUUUUCUACAUAAAUGUAAUUGAAAAUCAAAAAAUUGCUUCACUGCUACCUCUGUAAUAUUCCUUAGUCAGUACCUAAUGAGUGGUAUUUCAGUAAAUGCAAGUUAUAAACGGAAAUUGGGUGUUUUGAAUUUUUAUCAAUUUUGUUUGAUUACUGCAUUUGAAAUUAAAGAGUGAAGAAAUCUA